rnacentral:rRNA from 1 species
UACAGAGGGGGCAAGCGUUGUUCGGAAUUACUGGGCGUAAAGGGCGCGUAGGCGGCCUUCUAAGUCGAACGUGAAAUCCCUGGGCUCAACCCAGGAACUGCGUCCGAUACUGGAAGGCUUGAAUCCGGGAGAGGGAUGCGGAAUUCCAGGUGUAGCGGUGAAAUGCGUAGAUAUCUGGAGGAACACCGGUGGCGAAGGCGGCAUCCUGGACCGGUAUUGACGCUGAGGCGCGAAAGCCAGGGGAGCAAUCAGG